rnacentral:rRNA from 1 species
UUGGGUAACCGAAAGUAUGGUUAGUGGCGAAAGGGUGAGGAAUAGAUAGGAACGUACCUGUGCUCUGGGAUAGCGUCUGAAGCUUCGGCUUCUUCCGAAAGGGGCGGUAAUACCAGAUAAUGUCCUUCGGGACCAAAGAUUUAUCGGCAUUGGAGCGGNCUAUCUCCUAUCAGCUUGUUGGUGAGGUAACGGCUCACCAAGGCAACGACGGGUAGCGGGACUGAGAGGUUGGCCCGCCACAUCGGGACUGAGACACUGCCCGGACCUCCACGGAGGGCUGCAGUAACGGAUAUUGGGCAAUGGGCGAAAGCCUGACCCAGCAAUGCCGCGUGCAGGAUGAAGCCCCUAGGGGUGUAAACUGCUGUCAGGGGUCAGAAAGCUGGUUUCGGCCAGUUGAUCAACCCCAGAGGAAGUCACGGCUAACUUCGUGCCAGCAGCCGCGGUAAUACGAAGGUGGCAAGCGUUAUUCGGAAUCAUUGGGCUUAAAGGGCACGCAGGCGGAACAGUGUGUGUUGUGUGAAAUCCCCCGGCUUAACCGGGGAAUUGCACAGCAAACUGCUGUUCUUGAGGCAGGUAGGGGUGCAUGGAACUCUUGGUGGAGCGGUGGAAUGCGUAGAUAUCAAGAGGAACGCCAGAGGUGAAGACGGUGCACUGGGCCUGUCCUGACGCUGAGGUGCGAAAGCGUGGGGAGCGAACGGGAUUAGAUACCCCGGUAGUCCACGCCGUAAACGAUGUCUACUAGGUACGGGGGUGUUCUGACACAUUCACGGCCGGAGCAAAAGUGUUUAGUAGACCGCCUGGGGAGUACGGCCCCAAGGUUAAAACUCAAAUGAAUUGACGGGGGCUCACACAANCGUUGGAGCAUGUGGAUUAAUUCGAAGCAACGCGCAGAACCUUACCUGGGUUUGACAUGCUUGUAUGCCUUCUCUGAAAGGAGUUAGNCUGCCUUCGGGUGAAACUUGCACAGGUGCUGCAUGGCUGUCGUCAGCUCGUGUCGUGAGAUGUCGGGUUAAGUCCUUUAACGAGCGAAACCCUUGCCGUUAGUUGCCAGCGAGUAAUGUCGGGGACUCUAACGGGACUGCCGGUGUUAAACCGGAGGAAGGUGGGGACGACGUCAAGUCCUCAUGGCCUUUAUGCCCAGGGCUUCACACGUGCUACAAUGGCAAUUACAGAGCGACGCGAUACCG